AUGCACGCUGGCGGCGUGCCUCACCCCUGCAAGUCGCACGGAGUCCAGCCUUUAAGACCUUCGGGUCAAAGAGGGGAAGACUGAGUGGCGGACGGGUGAGUAACACGUGGGCAACCUGGCUCAUAGAGGGGGAUAACAGAGAGAAAUUUCUGCUAAUACCGCAUAAGCACACACUGCCGCAUGGCAGAGGGUGAAAAGAGAAUCGCUAUGAGAUGGACCCGCGUCUGAUUAGCCAGUUGGCAGGGUAAGAGCCUACCAAAGCGACGAUCAGUAGCCGAUCUGAGAGGAUGAACGGCCACAUUGGGACUGAGACACGGCCCAAACUCCUACGGGAGGCAGCAGUGGGGGAUAUUGCACAAUGGGGGGAACCCUGAUGCAGCGACGCCGCGUGAGUGAAGAAGUAUUUCGGUAUGUAAAGCUCUAUCAGCAGGGAAGAUAAUGACAGUACCUGAAUAAGAAGCCCCGGCUAACUACGUG
rnacentral:rRNA from 1 species